AGUUGGUCCAAAGGUAGUGAGUUAUCUCAGCUGACUGUUCACAGUCAGUUACAGAUCAAACUCCUUGUUCUGCGCUCUCCUUCAUCUCACUACUGCAUGUGACUGUCUUUAA
rnacentral:Y_RNA from 1 species